rnacentral:lncRNA from 1 species
CCUGAAUAUUCGCUCGUGGGCCGAUUGGAUCCGCGCGGGGCGGCCCGACUCGCUAAACCAAACACACCCAUAAGGGUCGGGCCGGUCCCAAAACGCCUCCUUCGGGUUGUCGUGCCGGCAGGCCACAAGUACAAAAGAUAAAAAAUUUGGGCCAAAAUCUUCUAUGUUCUAUAUCUAAAUAUGAAAACACACUACCAACGUACAAGCAUGUCACAUCAUCGUAUCGUUAAUUUGUUCACACUUAUUUAGUGACUCAUAUUUUUUGCACAUGCAUGCAACUUUCCAUCAAGCUAUCAUACAACUUCACUAUAUGUUUUCAAUUUCGGGUACUCUUUGGUUGCUACAAUUUCACCCACGUGUGUUAACUAAAAAUUUUCAUAACAACGUGUGGAGCACAAUCUAGUUAGUGAAGUUGAUGGGCCAAAACAAGUUAAGUUGAUGGAUCAAGGGUAAAACUCAGUUAGAUUGGGCCAACUUUUUAAGAGUUGGUGGGCCAAAUGAAGGAAAAAAAUAAAAAAGUUAAUCGGGUCGUGCCGAGCCAGCCCGCGGGCUUGAUGUUGAGGGGCAGGUGCGGCACUGGCCGGGCCACGUGCCAGCCCCGCCAAAUUAGAUAUGUAUCAGGCCCAGCCCGAGUUGGGCCGGGCCUGCAAGGCUCUCGGGCUUUUUGUUCGGCCCGGGCCCGAUUGCCAUCUAAAGGCUCGGAUAAUGAUUUGUUCACACGUGGGGAG